GUUCAUGUAGCUUAAACAACUUAAAGCAAGGCACUGAAAAUGCCUAGAUGGGUUUUACAACCCCAUAAACA
rnacentral:tRNA from 1 species